rnacentral:rRNA from 1 species
UACAGAGGGGGCAAGCGUUGUUCGGAAUUACUGGGCGUAAAGGGCUCGUAGGCGGCCAACUAAGUCAGACGUGAAAUCCCUCGGCUUAACCGGGGAACUGCGUCUGAUACUGGAUGGCUUGAGUUUGGGAGAGGGAUGCGGAAUUCCAGGUGUAGCGGUGAAAUGCGUAGAUAUCUGGAGGAACACCGGUGGCGAAGGCGGCAUCCUGGACCAACACUGACGUUGAGUGAGCGAAAGCCAGGGGAGCAAACGGG